UACGUAGGGUGCGAGCGUUAAUCGGAAUUACUGGGCGUAAAGCGUGCGCAGGCGGUUCGUUGUGUCUGAUGUGAAAGCCCCGGGCUCAACCUGGGAAUGGCAUUGGAAACUGGCGAGCUAGAGUGUGGCAGAGGGGGGUGGAAUUCCGCGUGUAGCAGUGAAAUGCGUAGAGAUACGGAGGAACACCGAUGGCGAAGGCAGCCCCCUGGGCUGACACUGACGCUCAGGCACGAAAGCGUGGGGAGCAAACAGG
rnacentral:rRNA from 1 species